rnacentral:rRNA from 2 species
CUGACGGUAUCUGCAGAAUAAGCACCGGCUAACUACGUGCCAGCAGCCGCGGUAAUACGUAGGGUGCAAGCGUUAAUCGGAAUUACUGGGCGUAAAGCGUGUGUAGGCGGUUCGGAAAGAAAGAUGUGAAAUCCCAGGGCUCAACCUUGGAACUGCAUUUUUAACUGCCGAGCUAGAGUAUGUCAGAGGGGGGUAGAAUUCCACGUGUAGCAGUGAAAUGCGUAGAUAUGUGGAGGAAUACCGAUGGCGAAGGCAGCCCCCUGGGAUAAUACUGACGCUCAGACACGAAAGCGUGGGGAGCAAACAGGAUUAGAUACCCUGGUAGUCCACGCCCUAAACGAUGUCAACUAGCUGUUGGGGCCGUUAGGCCUUAGUAGCGCAGCUAACGCGUGAAGUUGACCGCCUGGGGAGUACGGUCGCAAGAUUAAAACUCAAAGGAAUUGACGGGGACCCGCACAAGCGGUGGAUGAUGUGGAUUAAUUCGAUGCAACGCGAAAAACCUUACCUACCCUUGACAUGUCUGGAAAGCCGAAGAGAUUUGGCCGUGCUCGCAAGAGAACCGGAACACAGGUGCUGCAUGGCUGUCGUCAGCUCGUGUCGUGAGAUGUUGGGUUAAGUCCCGCAACGAGCGCAACCCUUGUCAUUAGUUGCUACGCAAGAGCACUCUAAUGAGACUGCCGGUGACAAACCGGAGGAAGGUGGGGAUGACGUCAAGUCCUCAUGGCCCUUAUGGGUAGGGCUUCACACGUCAUACAAUGGUCGGGACAGAGGGUCGCCAACCCGCGAGGGGGAGCCAAUCUCAGAAACCCGAUCGUAGUCCGGAUCGCAGUCUGCAACUCGACUGCGUGAAGUCGGAAUCGCUAGUAAUCGCGGAUCAGAAUGUCGCGGUGAAUACGUUCCCGGGUCUUGUACACACCGCCCGUCACACCAUGGGAGUGGGUUUCACCAGAAGUAGGUAGCCUAACCGUAAGGAGGGCGCUACCACGUGAUUCUGGCCC